rnacentral:rRNA from 1 species
UACGGGGGGGGCAAGCGUUGUUCGGAAUUACUGGGCGUAAAGGGCUCGUAGGUGGCCAACUAAGUCAGACGUGAAAUCCCUCGGCUUAACCGGGGAACUGCAUCUGAUACUGGAUGGCUUGAGUUUGGGAGAGGGACGCGGAAUUCCAGGUGUAGCGGUGAAAUGCGUAGAUAUCUGGAGGAACACCGGUGGCGAAGGCGGCGUCCUGGACCAACACUGACGCUGAGGAGCGAAAGCCAGGGGAGCAAACGGG